ensembl:lncRNA
CUCGCAGCCCCGCGCUGUGCGCCUCGUGGCCUCUCCUCAGCGGGGCCGCGUUCUGUACCCGGCGCGGUAUUGCCGGCUGCAGGGCAGGCGCCGCCUUCGUGCUCUCAGUGAGUACCUCAGUCCCCCCACGGCCUUCGGGCACCGAGAGUGUAAAGCUGUCCGGAUGAGGAGUAGCGCCGUGCUGGAGCUGAGGAAAAUUAAGCUGUGAACUGGAAUUCCAUCAGGCUGUCUGCCGUGAAGCCCUGCGGCUUUAGCAAACAGGCAGCAGUGGUCAGAAAUGACACUCAAAAGAACUGUCUGCAUUAAUAACAAGUACCUCCACUUGGAAAUUAUUUACAUGAAACAUUGUUCUCACAUCACUGCUACUGACAGCGGCUCCGGACUGGGUGAGAGAAGGACACCGUGAUGAAUUUACCCAUACCUACCUUACUGUGCUGCGUGAGACGAGGAGAGCUCAAAGACUUCAGAGAAGUUUGAAACCUUAAUCCCUGAAUAAUGCCUCCACCUGCCUCCUGGUUUUCUUUGGGGACUUUCCAGCGCUGGCCAGUCCUGACCCUAUCUGACUUCAGGGACAAUCCCAGUGUCUUGGGCUCCGAAAAAAGAGUGAAACAGUGACUGGAAAUGGUGCAGAGCUCAAGGGAGAAGAAUCUCCAGGAACAGAUUUUGACCUCAAGACUAAGGCACGUUACGUGUGUGAAGGCCCAGCACCGCUGCUACGAUCCACAGCACUGCUCCCACAUACUGCGUGAGUGAGGCCCUGCUGAUGUAAUAGUGGCCCGCAUAUGUCUCAUAUUAAUGGUAUUUUCCUAAUAGUAAUAGCAUUAAAGCCUGCCUACCUGGCUAUUGAGUUACCUUAUUUAGGGUAAUUUGCCCAAAAGCCUAUCCUGGAGCAUGUGAACAACCGUAUCAUUUUAUAACACUUAGCUUUAAGAUAUCAGAAAUCAAAGCAGGCAGACAGUCUGAUUCCAGAACUAGUAGUUUUCCAUUUAAAAAAACAAAAACUGUUGUGUUUCUUGAAUAAUUUAUUAUCUGGGUUUCUGUUGCAUUUUCCACAUGGAAUUGAUGAAGAAAAAUUUUUUCUAAAGAAAGUUCGGAUGAGUGAAAAUUCACACAUGGAAAACAAAUGAGCAUCGGGAAGCACUCCUCAUAGCUAAUGGCUACUUGGUCUGGUGCCAGAAUUCAUACAGAUCCUUAAAAUCAAGUAAAUUAUGCCCGCAGUGAUAGCUCCCUUUUGCUGGAGUCCCACAACAAGCACCAAAUGGUGGAGCGGCACAGAACUGCCAAAUUCCAUUUUUCACCUCCCAGUUCCUUUCAGCUGAGCAGCCUCAUUCGCAGCAGAAGGGCCCAUGCAUUUUUUACAGCUCCCCUCCCAGCCGCGUGUGCAGGGCCCGAUCCUGCCUAUGGCACAGGGCUCUGAGGGCAGCGCCUGCCGCGGGGUCAGCAUGUCAGUGAAUGGCAGCGGUGGUGGCAAUCUGACACACGUGUCUUCCCACGGAAGGGAGUGGAAAGAAUUGGGUCUUGAAAAGGAAAUAAUUGUAAAACAAAAGUGUACUUCUCUCACUUUGUCCUUUUGAUAAGAUCGCUUGCUGAGCUCAGAGGUUAGGAGAUGUGCAGCUUGCCAUGCGCCAGAUUAACAACUGCUGAAUUCUGUGCUAGAAAACUCGGCUGGAUUACACAAAUAUCUGUUAAGACAAGGAUAAAUAUUUAUAAACAGUCUUCCUUGCAGAACAUGUCUCCAUCAUUCAUUUCCCCGUGAUGAAAUAUCUGGAACAAUGGAACUAAUGACUACAUUGUUCCAAAGUUAAAUCGUAUAUCUAAUAAGGAAAAUACUAAAAUGAGCCAAAUUCUUUAUGAACACAACAGCGAAGCAAUUAAAAUAAAUGUGAUUUUCCAGAUCAAAACUUCUGGCUGUUAAUUGCUAGAUGGCACCUAUCCUAGUCAUAUGAGUUUCCCUCGCAGCUGUUUUUAUUUCACGAUACAUUCUGGGCUCCCCAGAGCUGUGCUGAGCUCGGACGCGGCGGCAUCGCGCCCGGACAGCUGCGCGGGGCUGCGGGGCUCAUGGAUGCACUGCUGGGACAGGCCUUGGGCCAGGUGCGCUCUCGCUGCUUGCCCUUUGCUUGCCCCGGGGUUCCAGUGGGGAUGAUGGGUGGGCACAAUGGCAUGCCCGCACCAAGCACACAGCACUGCUGCUCCCAGAAAGAGUAUUUUGGAGGAUAUACUUCAGUCAUACACUUUGUCCUAGUCACGGCAUCUGGCUGAGCUCAUACCCUUACCUCUUCGCCCUCUGCAUUUGACUUUUUUUUUUUUUUAAUUUGUUCAUGGGUGCCCUAGCACAGCAGCAGUGGGGCAGGGGCUGCAGCCCCAGCAGGACCAGGGCUCUUUAACCCACCCCACUCCAGAGCUGAAACUGCACACUGGAAAUCUGGCACGCUCCAGCCAGCUUUACUUGAAGCUGCACUUUGGUAUCUGUAGGUUAUUAAUGAGAUUAAAGAACUCUGUUACAGGGAAUGACAACUGCAGUUUGUCCAACAUUAAGCAGAUAUUGGCAUCCUUAGGUGUGAGUCGGGAGGCAGUGAUCUCAGAUAUUGAACGAGCUAAAGCCAUGAGCAAUAUGAUAUUGAUUAGACAAUGGGUAUUGUAUUUACCCACAUAGCUUUAUUGGGUGAGGCUCAAUGUGAUGUUUUUAUUUGGGAAACUUAAGGAAGAUAAUUAAAAAUGCUGUAAGGAGAGCCCAGCAGCCUUUGUGCUUUGCUUUUUAAAGGCUGCAGAUGUCCUGUCUUCUUUCUUUAAAACGGCAUGUGCUCCCUCUCCACCUUCCAAAAGAUCAAGGGUAAUAAUAACAACAAUAAUAAUACAGUGUCCUGGAAUUUUUCUACAUGCCUCAGGAGAACUUUAAUUUUUUCCAGAAACUGUUUUCUGACAACAGCCGCCCCGUGGACUUUUCCUGUUCCCCAGAAUGCAUUUCCAGUGCUGCUGUGGCCAAGUUAAAAUGGUGUCUUUUGGAUAUAAGGCCUUUUAUGUAGAAAACCUUUCUCUUGCUGAACAAAACCCUGCCUGCAGCGUGGGGCAACCCUGACCUGGUGAGCAGGUAGUGUUGUGCACUUUGAGCCUGUGCACCACGGGCAGCCCAGUGUGGCCUUGAUGACAGAAUUCGGGAGCCUUACUCACAUCCACAGACGGCCCAGUGCUCGAAGCAUGCACAGAGGAUGCAUCCUGUCCACCUCUUCCGCUGUUUCUCCCAUCAGUUGCAUUCCCUUUCCCCAAGGGCUUUUUUCCAUUUUUUUUACUUUAUAAUCCCACAGCAAUGCCCAGCCCAGCUGCAUUCCCAUCUUGCAUCAGAAGGCUGACUCACUGCAGCGCUCAGCUCGGUUGCACUUCCCUUCCAUGGGACAUGGGUCCACAUGGCUGCAGACAGGGCCUGGGCCUGGCACACAGCGAGGCAUGCACCCAGCUCAGGGCUGAGGCCAGCGCCUGUGUGCCACCCUCUUUACCUCUGCCAAGGUCUUUCAAGCUGAGGUGUGAUGGCUCAGCCUUUCUCCUCCCUCCAUGGAUGGCUGCUGCUGUAACUCCCCAAGCUUUUGGCCAUGGGCUGUUUAAUAUUUUCUUCCAGCUCAGCCAUCUCCAGUCACCAGAGCUGCUGCCGGCUCUACUCCCAUGGGUGAGGUAGCUUCUCACAGCCACCACUUCCUCUGCUCUUCAACCUGAUGCUUUCCAGCUCUGCGCUUUGCAAGGGGAGGCAAAGGAGCGUGUGCCGAGCCUCCAUCUGCACCACAUCACGGGAAUACAAAAUGGCACCGAAUCCUACUUUUCCUCAUUAGAUGUGGGCAAACUUGGCUGGAGCGCAAGUGCGAAAGCUCAUCUUUCUUCAGCUGCUUGUAAUUCAUGCUUGAGCAAGAGCAUUAUUUGGGGCUUAAGUCAGAGUCUUCUAAGUAGGUCACAGUUCUUCUAGACCCAAACUCCUGCAUAUGACUUCUGAGAAAUGCAGAUCCCUGUCCUCCUGAUUAGUGAAACACCUCAGGAGCCCUCUUUUCAGUUUUAUCAGCUCCUCAAAUGAAUCCAUAAAACAAAUAGUUACUAAGAAGUUGCUUCCUGCAUAGGGUUCAGACUUGGAAAAAUUCCUCUGCCUUGGGUGGCAGCCAUUUCUGUCUCAUUUGCAUGGCUAGUUUCUUGCAUUUUAAGGAUGCUCCACUGUAGCCAGGUAAAUGGAUGCACCCCGCAACUCCUCUAGUCUUUGCAUCAACAAGAGGACAAAAAGCUACGGAGAAGGCAAGGAAGCUCCAGCCUACAGGGGCUGUGCUGGCUGAAACACAUGCAGUGCAGUCCAUGCUGUAAAACAGCAUUCAUUUUAGUGGUGCAGAGGCUGAUUUGCCAAAUCAUCACAGCAUGUGUUAGAUGUUAAUCCUAGUCUUUAGAAUAGAACUACAGCUUCAGACACACCCGGAGAUAAAAUGAGGGAAAUACAAGAGCUCAACAAGAAGCAGAAUGAAGCGGAAUGGCACAGUGCAAGGAUGUGUUAAGAGCUCUUUGAGGCACUGGUGGCAUAAGUAAGUUUUCCUGGUAUUUCUGCAGGGCAGUUCUGAAUGCCUAUAGCAGCUCACCACCUGCGUUUGAAAAUGAUAGCAUUUGCUUUUUUCAGUCAUCUAGAAAUUAAGCUUUACCUCCUCCUUCAGUAGCAGGAUGAGUCUGGACUGCAGUGACAUGAGGGAGAAGUCAGAACCAAACAUACUCUAUAUCUCUCGCCGGAGGAGAAGAGUUGCAGUUAAGUCUGAUUUUAGUUGAGUCAUUUGGCCAGGGGAGAUUAUCCAUAGGUAUGGAUUGCAGUUGUCAGCAGCCACAUGUUGUUGGGGCAUUUCUUUGCAUUACGGUACUAUGCAUUUAGAUUUUUGCCCUUUACUGCUGCUUUAGUGUGCAAUGGUGAAGUGCUGGAGCUCAGCUCUGUGGCUGCAUUCGGAUCCCUGAAAUGAGCUCAAGUGCUAUUUUACCAUAGAAUACAGGAUGCCUUCGUGCUUUUAUGCUUUAUUUUUGAUUCUAUGAGGUUAUUUUAACUUCCUUGUCUGAAAAGAAACAAAAUGUUAGAUGUCUAAUUGAAUGGACUGCUGGAAAAGAUGCAUAAAAAGGUCUGGCAUGUGAACUUCUGUGAAGCAAAUGCCUUUGUUUCCAAACAGGCCAGCGAUAACAAAUAUUUAUUGACAUUUUCCUUCCACAGGGGCGUUAACAAUUAUAAUUUGCUAGUACGUACCUCAUGAGUCCUUACAGGUUUUGAACAGAACAUCUGUUGGUCAAAGAUGAAAAAGAAGGUUGAAAAAAAAAUCUGUUUUUCCAGGGUUAUGAAACUAACAGCAUCACAAAUUAUCGCUAGGAAAACAGUUCAAAAGCCUGAACUUGCACUUGUGGAAAAAGGAACACAGAUAGAGGAAACAGAUAAAAACGCGUCGUGUUGGUAGGCUUUGUUUUCUGCAAUGAUGUAUUGUUCCAGCAAAGCGGUUAACAAACAAAUUAUUGUCUGCAUCCAAAACAGCCAAAUCUUUGGUUCCACUGAACAGAUGUUAAGGUGAAGCAGAUUAAAGCCAAAUUCACAAUAGGGCUGCUCCACAGGAAAGGUGCCCUAAGUUUAUCUAUUGUUAAAUAAUAUAAUUUAUCGUCUUAGAGGGCUACGGAGUGAUUUCUGUUCCUUUUCUACUUUUUGAACAAAGAUUUAUAACAUAGAUAAUCCCCAAUUUUAGAUAUUUGCUGCAGGUUAUAUUUGAAGGAAUUUCCCAAAAGACUGAUAACCCCUUUUUUUCCCUUAACCACAGUCAAACCAGUGAACUAAUAUGAUGCCUGCUUCAAAUAAAUGUAUUUGCUGCCUCUGUGCAUGAUAAGUUUUCAUUUAGUCUACGAUCAGCUGACAGUAUGCAAGUUUGCAGAUACCAGUAAUUGAAUACAGAUAACCUUGGUUGUUGACCUAUGCAGAGCCAUGGCUGUCUAGUUUCCAUUGUUUCUGUUUUUGCUAGUUGACACAAAACUGAUGUGGGCUGAAUUUAUAUAUUAGCCAUCCAUUAUAGUGGGAAUUGCUUAUCAUUGUGGAUGGAUAUUGCAAGAAGUUUCUAUUUAUUUAACCUAAUAAGAUGGCAGAAACGAACCUGAUUGGGCCCACUCA